CCUACGGGUGGCAGCAGUGAGGAAUAUUGGUCAAUGGACGAGAGUCUGAACCAGCCAAGUAGCGUGAAGGAUGACUGCCCUAUGGGUUGUAAACUUCUUUUAUAUGGGAAUAAAAUGUUCCACGUGUGGGAUUUUGUAUGUACCAUAUGAAUAAGGAUCGGCUAACUCCGUGCCAGCAGCCGCGGUAAUACGGAGGAUCCGAGCGUUAUCCGGAUUUAUUGGGUUUAAAGGGAGCGUAGGUGGAUUGUUAAGUCAGUUGUGAAAGUUUGCGGCUCAACCGUAAAAUUGCAGUUGAAACUGGCAGUCUUGAGUACAGUAGAGGUGGGCGGAAUUCGUGGUGUAGCGGUGAAAUGCUUAGAUAUCACGAAGAACUCCGAUUGUAAAGGCAGUUCACUGGACUGCAACUGACACUGAGGCUCGAAAGUGUGGGUAUCAAACAGGAUUAGAUACCCGGGUAGUC
rnacentral:rRNA from 1 species